GCGGAUGUGGCGGAACUGGUAGACGCGCAGGUCUCAGAAGCCUGUGGGAGCAAUCCUGUGGAGGUUCGAUUCCUCUCAUCCGCACCA
rnacentral:tRNA from 1 species